rnacentral:rRNA from 1 species
UGCUAGUUGCUGAAUAAAUAACUAGUUGGCUCUGCCCGGUGAGAUACUUUUAACGGCCGCAGUACACUGACUGUGCAAAGGUAGCAUAAUCAUUUGGCUUUUAAAUGGAGUCGGGUAUGAAUGAGUUAAUGGGGGCAGGCUGUCUCAAUUUUUCUUCUUAAAACUUUCUAAGAAAGUGAAAAUUCUUUCAUUUUUUAAAAAAAGACGAGAAGACCCUAUAAAUUUUCAUGGAGAAGAAAUUUAUAUUCUUUACAUUUUUGUUGGGGCAACAAGCUAACAUAGAAAAUUUAGCUUAUGAAUUUAUUCUAUCGAGUGUUACUAGUAAAAAAGAAAUUACUUUAGGGAUAACAGCAUAAUUUUUUUAUUAAGAUUGUGACCUCGAUGUUGGACUAGGGACUGGUUAAAUCAACCAUUUAACCAUUAGGUUCUGUUCGAACUUUUAAUUCCU